UACGAGGGGGCGAGCGUUGUUCGGAAUUAUUGGGCGUAAAGGGUGCGUAGGCGGUUUGGUAAGUCUUAUGUGAAAUCUACAGGCUCAACUUGUAGUCUGCAUGAGAAACUGCCGGGCUUGAGUGUGGGAGAGGUGAGUGGAAUUCCUGGUGUAGCGGUGAAAUGCGUAGAUAUCAGGAGGAACACCUGUGGCGAAAGCGGCUCACUGGACCAUAACUGACGCUGAUGCACGAAAGCUAGGGGAGCAAACAGG
rnacentral:rRNA from 1 species